AUGGACUUCUCCAGCUCUGAGCCACCUGUUUCCAUUUUUCCCCACAGGGGACAUCCAGCAGUGCCUGAGGACAAUUCUGAUUGGGCAUCAAUGAUGGGGAAAUAAAGAAAAAAGAAUGACAAAGAGGAGAAACUGGAAAGCAAACUGUUAACAGCAAGGCUUCUGUAAGACUUCAUGGAAGCUGAUGGAGAUUUACAUCAUCAGCUACCCUGUUCUCAGGACUUUGGACUUAGACUGAAUUACGACACAGCUUUUCCUGGGUCUCCAGCCUGCAGACAGUACCAUCCUAGGACUUCUCAGCCUCCAAAAUGGAUGGUGUGAGUCAAUUCCUCAUAAUAAACCUCACUAGAUAAGUACCUAGAGAUGGAGCUCUCUCAUACUGGUUCCGUUUCUCUCAAGAACCCUGACUAAUAAACCAAAUGUCACCAGGAAGACAUACCUCCACACCCAAUGAAUACGGUGGCAAAGGAAAGCAAUGUCACUACACUGUACCCUCAGAAGCCAGGGGGCCUAACUGGCCUGCCCACUACUGGUGGAAC